UAGCGCCCCGUCGAUGAAGAGUGAGUCGAUAUCCCCACAUGACUCAAUUUUGACAUGUACCACACCCGAUGCCAUCGAGGGGAUUGCAGAAACGUGAAUAAUAAUAAGAAACAAAAAUAAAACCAUCAUUCCACCAAAUAGCAACAAGUUUACAUGAAAGUUUAAGUAAUAGGAGUUGAAUUACGUGCCCUAAAUUAAUUAUUUUACAAUUAUAAUAGCCAAUAUCAGUUAGAAUUAUCUACCUGCAGUGCAAUACUGGUUCAGAGUGCUCUAAAGCACCGGUUUAGUUUUAGCGUGAAUUUGUAUUGAACUAGGUGAAAAACAGGGAAAUCUGGUCGGUAAGCAUUCCGUAGUUGUCGAAAACGUUAUCCGAGCAAGUGCGACUCAGAGGGGUUCACAAUCGUCGCGAAAAGGAGCAUUGUUGCGAAGGAAUAUUCCGAGGCUAGAUCGCUAAAAGAAUUUUAUAAUUUAUCAAUUACGCCGAAUAAAUUUAUUGAAUUUGAAUCUAGUUCCUCGCUGCUCUCGCAACAUUUUAUAAAAUUCUUUUACCAUGUCGGAGAAGUCGACGCAUUGUGUAGCAAAUCCCACUGGAGUACCAGGAAACACCGACAACAUCACCGGAGCGGCCACAGCAACGAACGCAAGUAAUGUCCCCUCCGUUGUCAUACUGCCACCUCCUAGCGUUGGAGAACAGGUAA
rnacentral:lncRNA from 1 species